rnacentral:rRNA from 1 species
ACAGGGGGGGCAAGCGUUGUUCGGAAUUACUGGGCGUAAAGGGCGCGUAGGCGGCCUGCUAAGUCGAACGUGAAAUCCCCGGGCUCAACCCGGGAACUGCGUCCGAUACUGGUUGGCUUGAAUUCGGGAGAGGGAUGCGGAAUUCCAGGUGUAGCGGUGAAAUGCGUAGAUAUCUGGAGGAACACCGGUGGCGAAGGCGGCGCGCUGGACCACUACUGACGCUGAGGAACGAAAGCUAGGGGAGCAAACAGGA